AUGUAACCUGGCCACACAUAUU
rnacentral:miRNA from 12 species